GAAAGAACGUAGCGAAAUGCGAUAAGUAAUGUGAAUUGCAGAAUUCAGUGAAUCAUCGAAUCUUUGAACGCACAUUGCGCCCGCCAGUAUUCUGGCGGGCAUGCCUGUUCGAGCGUCAUUUCAACCAUCAAGCCCCCGGCUUGUGUUGGGGACCUGCGGCUGCCGCAGGCCCUGAAAACCAGUGGCGGGCUCGCUAGUCACUCCGAGCGUAGUAAUACAUCUCGCUCAGGGCGUGCUGCGGGUUCCGGCCGUUAAAAAGCCUUAUUUACCCAAGGUUGACCUCGGAUCAGGUAGGAAGACCCGCUGAACUUAAGCAUAUCAAUAAGCGGAGGA
rnacentral:misc_RNA from 1 species